UAGGCAUCAUGUAUACGCAGACAUUAUAGU
rnacentral:piRNA from 1 species